rnacentral:rRNA from 1 species
UACGAACUGUGCGAACGUUAUUCGGAAUCACUGGGCUUACAGGGUGCGUAGGCGGCUUGUUAAGUAGGGUGUGAAAGCCCCCGGCUCAACCGGGGAAUUGCGCCCUAAACUGGCGAGCUGGAGUGAGAUAGGGGUGUGUGGAACUUCCGGUGGAGCGGUGAAAUGUGUUGAUAUCGGAAGGAACGCCGGUGGCGAGAGCGACACACUGGAUCUUGUCUGACGCUGAGGCACGAAAGCCAGGGGAGCGAACGGG